UAGGGAAUCUUCGGCAAUGGGGGGAACCCUGACCGAGCAACGCCGCGUGAGUGACGAAGGUUUUCGGAUCGUAAAGCUCUGUUGUUAAGGAAGAACGAGUGUGAGAAUGGAAAGUUCAUGCUGUGACGGUACUUAACCAGAAAGGGACGGCUAACUACGUGCCAGCAGCCGCGGUAAUACGUAGGUCCCGAGCGUUGUCCGGAUUUAUUGGGCGUAAAGCGAGCGCAGGCGGUUAGAAAAGUCUGAAGUGAAAGGCAGUGGCUCAACCAUUGUAGGCUUUGGAAACUGUUUAACUUGAGUGCAGAAGGGGAGGGUGGAAUUCCAUGUGUAGCGGUGAAAUGCGUAGCUAUAUGGAGGAACACCGGUGGCGAAAGCGGCUCUCUGGUCUGUAACUAACGCUGAGGCUCGAAAGCGUGGGGAGCGAACAGG
rnacentral:rRNA from 1 species